rnacentral:rRNA from 1 species
GACAGAGGCCUCAAGCGUUAGGCGGAAUCACUGGGCUUAAAGCGUGCGCAGGCGGUCUGUUAAGACCGAUGUGAAAUCCCCGGGCUUAACCUGGGAACUGCAUUGGUGACUGGCAGGCUUUGAGUAUGGCAGAGGGGGGGUAGAAUUCCACGUGUAGCAGUGAAAUGCGUAGAGAUGUGGAGGAAUACCGAUGGCGAAGGCAGCCCCCUGGGCCAAUACUGACGCUCAUGCACGAAAGCGUGGGGAGCAAACAGG